rnacentral:rRNA from 1 species
GACGAACGCUGGCGGCGUGCCUAAUACAUGCAAGUCGAGCGAAGUGGAGAGAGCUUGCUCUCGAAGCUUAGCGGCGAACGGGUGAGUAACACGUGGGCAACCUGCCCGAUAGACCGGGAUAACUUGGGGAAACUCAAGCUAAUACCGGAUAGGAUCAUUAACCGCCUGGUUGGUGAUGGAAAGUCUGAACGACACUAUCGGAUGGGCCGCGGCGGAUUAGCUAGUUGGUGGGGUGACGGCCUACCAAGGCUACGAUGCGUAGCCGACCUGAGAGGGUGACCGGCCACACUGGGACUGAGACACGGCCCAGACUCCUACGGGAGGCAGCAGUAGGGAAUCUUCCACAAUGGGCGAAGGCCUGAUGGAGCAACGCCGCGUGAGUGAUGAAGGUUUUCGGAUCGUAAAACUCUGUUGUUAGGGAAGAACACCCGGGAGAGGAUCCCGGUUUGACGGUACCUGACGAGAAAGCCCCGGCUAACUACGUGCCAGCAGCCGCCGUAAAAC